AUUGAACGCUGGCGGCAGGCCUAACACAUGCAAGUCGAGCGGAUGAAGGGAGCUUGCUCCUGGAUUCAGCGGCGGACGGGUGAGUAAUGCCUAGGAAUCUGCCUGGUAGUGGGGGAUAACGUCCGGAAACGGGCGCUAAUACCGCAUACGUCCUGAGGGAGAAAGUGGGGGAUCUUCGGACCUCACGCUAUCAGAUGAGCCUAGGUCGGAUUAGCUAGUUGGUGGGGUAAAGGCCUACCAAGGCGACGAUCCGUAACUGGUCUGAGAGGAUGAUCAGUCACAAUGGAACUGAGAGACGGUGGAGAAUACUAUGGGAGGCAGCAGUAGGGAAGGGUAAGCAAUGGGUGCAAGUCUGAAGGAGAUAUGAGGCGGGAGUGAUGAAGGUCUUCGAAUCGUAAAAUUUUGUUAUUAGAGAAGAAGAAAAGGGUAAGUAAAUAUGCACGUCUGGACCGUAGAUAAGAAGAAAGCCACGGCUACUUACGUG
rnacentral:rRNA from 1 species